GAUGAACGUUGGCGGCGUGCCUAACACAUGCAAGUCGAACGCUAGUAGCAAUAUUAGAGUGGCGCACGGGUGAGUAACACGUAGCUUACCCACCUCCCAGCGCGGGAUAACGGUUCGAAAGAACUGCUAAUACCGCAUAAGCUCACGGGCUAUAGAGGCUAGUGAGAAAAGGCUUAGGUCACUGGGAGCGGGGGCUGCGGCCCAUCAGCUGGUUGGGGCGGUAACGGCGCACCAAGGCGACGACGGGUA
rnacentral:rRNA from 1 species